AGUGAACGCUGGCGGUAGGCCUAACACAUACAAGUCGAACGGCAGCACAGUAAGAGCUUGCUCUUACGGGUGGCGAGUGGCGGACGGGUGAGGAAUACAUCGGAAUCUACUUUUUCGUGGGGGAUAACGUAGGGAAACUUACGCGAAUACCGCAUACGACCUACGGGUGAAAGCAGGGGAUCUUCGGACCUUGCGCGAUUGAAUGAGCCGAUGUCGGAUUAGCUAGUUGGCGGGGUAAAGGCCCACCAAGGCGACGAUCCGUAGCUGGUCUGAGAGGAUGAUCAGCCACACUGGAACUGAGACACGGUCCAGACUCCUACGGGAGGCAGCAGUGGGGAAUAUUGGACAAUGGGCGCAAGCCUGAUCCAGCCAUACCGCGUGGGUGAAGAAGGCCUUCGGGUUGUAAAGCCCUUUUGUUGGGAAAGAAAAGCAGCAGGUUAAUACCCCGCUGUUCUGACGGUACCCAAAGAAUAAGCACCGGCUAACUUCGUG
rnacentral:rRNA from 1 species